AGCGAACGCUGGCGGCAUGCCUAACACAUGCAAGUCGCACGGGCCGGGGCCCUCGGGCCGCGGCCAGUGGCGGACGGGUGAGGAGCGCGUAGGGAUCUGUCUCUGGGUGGGGGACAACCGCGGGAAACCGCGGCUAAUACCGCAUGAGGCCUGAGGGCCAAAGCGCGCGAGCGCGCCUGGGGGGGAGCCUGCGUCCGAUUAGCUGGUUGGUGGGGUAACGGCCCACCAAGGCUGCGAUCGGUAGCUGGUCUGAGAGGAUGAUCAGCCACACUGGGAC
rnacentral:rRNA from 1 species